rnacentral:lncRNA from 1 species
CAACAAACAUGCUUUGAGCAUCACAGAAAUGCCAGUGCCUACUUCAUAGUAGCUGUCCAGUAAAUAUUCCUUAAUAAAUGAUGGGGACGAGAGGUGUGGAGUGUGAGAUAUAAAGGCUGGAGAGAGAAGCAGUGUCACAAGUCUGCUCUAUCAAGGCUUCUGCAUACUAGAACAAGUCCUGACAUUUGUAAGCUUCAGCGUUCUUGGCUGCAUCUUCCGAGGAACUCCUUAUUAAUAAAAACACUUUGUGGGGGAAUCAAGUCUAUUUUACCACGGACGGGACUGGCGAAAUUCCAGAAAAGACGAAAGAGAGGGAGGAAUAGCACGUUUGUUGGUUCAAGCUGCCUUACAACUAAACUGGAUAUCUAUUGAAUUUUCCCCUCAACGCUGAAGGACCCGGAGGAGGAAAGGUGCUGUUGGAGAUUUUGAAUAAAGUUUGAUCCUGACUCA